GUGAAGAACGCAGCGAAAUGCGAUAAGUAGUGUGAAUUGCAGAAUUCAGUGAAUCAUCGAAUCUUUGAACGCACAUUGCGCCCCUUGGUAUUCCAUGGGGCAUGCCUGUUCGAGCGUCAUUUGUACCUUCAAGCUUUGCUUGGUGUUGGGUGUUUGUCUCGCCUUUGCGUGUAGACUCGCCUUAAAAUAAUUGGCAGCCGGCGUAUUGAUUUCGGAGCGCAGUACAUCUCGCGCUUUGCACUCAUAACGACAGCGUCCAAAAGUACAUUUUACACUCUUGACCUCGGAUCAGGUAGGGAUACCCGCUGAACUUAAGCAUAUCAAUAAGCGGAGGA
rnacentral:misc_RNA from 1 species